rnacentral:rRNA from 1 species
CAGUCGCCGCGGUAAUACGAAGGUCCCGAGCGUUGUUCGGAGUCACUGGGCGUAAAGGGAGCGUAGGCGGCGUGGUAAGUCGGAUGUGAAAUCCCGGGGCCCAACCCCGGAACUGCAUCCGAUGCUGCCAUGCUAGAGGAUUGGAGAGGUAGCUGGAAUUCUUGGUGUAGCAGUGAAAUGCGUGGAGAUCAAGAGGAACACUCGUGGCGAAAGCGAGCUACUGGACAAUAACUGACGCUGAGGCUCGAAGGCCAGGGUAGCGAAAGGGAUUAGAUACCCCAGUAGUCCCUGUCUCUUAUAC